CGACGGGUGAGUAAUGCAUAGGAAUCUGCCUAGUAUGGGGGACAACCUGGUGAAAACCACGCUAAUACCGCAUACGCCCUACGGGGGAAAGCGGGGGAUCUUCGGACCUCGCGCUAAUAGAUGAGCCUGCGUUGGAUUAGCUAGUUGGUAGGGUAAAGGCCUACCAAGGCGACGAUCCAUAGCUGUUCUGAGAGGAAGAUCAGCCACACUGGGACUGAGACACGGCCCAG
rnacentral:rRNA from 1 species